rnacentral:rRNA from 1 species
AGUGAACGCUGGCGGUAGGCCUAACACAUGCAAGUCGAACGGCAGCACAGUAAGAGCUUGCUCUUACGGGUGGCGAGUGGCGGACGGGUGAGGAAUACAUCGGAAUCUACUUUUUCGUGGGGGAUAACGUAGGGAAACUUACGCUAAUACAGCAUACGACCUACGGGUGAAAGCAGGGGAUCUUCGGACCUUGCGCGAUUGAAUGAGCCGGUGUCGGAUUAGCUAGUUGGCGGGGUAAAGGCCCACCAAGGCGACGAACCGUAGCUGGUCUGAGAGGAUGAGAAGCGACAAUGGGAAUGAGACACGGCGCAGACUCCUAGGGGAGGCAGCAGUGGGGAAUUGUCCGAAAUGGGCGAAAGCCUGACGGAGCAAUGCCGCGUGGAGGUAGAAGGCCCACGGGUCGUGAACUGCUUUGGCCGGAGAAGAAGCAAUGACGGUAUCUGGGGAAGAAGCAACGGCUAACUCUGGG